rnacentral:rRNA from 1 species
CCUACGGGAGGCAGCAGUGAGGAAUAUUGGUCAAUGGGCGCGAGCCUGAACCAGCCAAGUAGCGUGAAGGAUGACUGCCCUACGGGUUGUAAACUUCUUUUAUAAAGGAAUAAAGUGCGGCACGUGUGCCUUUUUGUAUGUACUUUAUGAAUAAGGAUCGGCUAACUCCGUGCCAGCAGCCGCGGUAAUACGGAGGAUCCGAGCGUUAUCCGGAUUUAUUGGGUUUAAAGGGAGCGUAGAUGGGUUGUUAAGUCAGUUGUGAAAGUUUGCGGCUCAACCGUAAAAUUGCAAUUGAUACUGGCAGUCUUGAGUGCAGGAGAGGUAGGCGGAAUUCGUGGUGUAGCGGUGAAAUGCUUAGAUAUCACGAAGAACUCCGAUUGCGAAGGCAGCGUACUAGACCGCAACUGACAUUGAUGCUCGAAAGUGUGGGUAUCAAACAGGAUUAGAUACCCCUGUAGUC